GGGGGUGUAGCUCAGCUGGGAGAGCACCUGCCUUGCAAGCAGGGGGUCAGCGGUUCGAUUCCGCUCAUCUCCA
rfam:Catabacter hongkongensis strain HKT16 2806ref_2ab_c12, whole genome shotgun sequence.